GACGAACGCUGGCGGCGUGCUUAACACAUGCAAGUCGAACGGAAAGGCCCUGCUUUUGUGGGGUGCUCGAGUGGCGAACGGGUGAGUAACACGUGAGUAACCUGCCCUUGUCUUUGGGAUAACUUCACGAAACUGGGGCUCAUACCGGAUAGGAUCUCCUGCUGCAUGUGGGGGGUUGGAAAGUUUCGGCGGUUGGGGAUGGACUCGCGGCUUAUCAGCUUGUUGGUGGGGUAGUGGCUUACCAAGGCUUUGACGGGUAGCCGGCCUGAGAGGGUGACCGGCGACAUUGGGACUGAGAUACGGCCCAGACUCCUACGGGAGGCAGCAGUGGGGAAUAUUGCACAAUGGGCGGAAGCCUGAUGCAGCAACGCCGCGUGCGGGAUGACGGCCUUCGGGUUGUAAACCGCUUUCGCCUGUGACGAAGCGUGAGUGACGGUAAUGGGUAAAGAAGCACCGGCUAACUACGUG
rnacentral:rRNA from 1 species